CGCACAUUGCACCCUCUGGUAUUCCGGAGGGUAUGCCUGUUCGAGCGUCAUAAAAAACUCUCAAGCCUGGCUUGGUGUUGGGACGCGCCUGCCCGGCGCUCCCUAAAAUCAUUGGGGACUCCAGCACGACUUCCAGCGUAGUAACACUUCUCGCUGGGGGGUCGGAGACUGACAGGAUCCAAAACGGUAGCUCCUUAGAGUCUGACCUCGGAUCAGGUAGGGAUACCCGCUGAACUUAA
rnacentral:misc_RNA from 1 species